UUCGGAGGCUGAGGGUCGCAUAUCUAGACUACAGGCUGAUCUACAGGGCUCCAGACUGCAAUCUAUUUCCGAUGCGGAGCUUAUACGUUCUCUACAGACUGCUAAUGAAAUGCUGACCCAACAAACUUCAGACUCCACUGGGAAACAGACAGAGGCAAUCGAGGAAUUUCAACAAAAACUUCAAGAAGCUGAAGCCAAGCGAGCUGCGACUAUCUCUGAAUUGGCCGCUCUUCAAAACAGGUUAGUUUUAUUCAUUCAAUUUAUUAUUCGAGAGUAAGAGAUCUACAAAAUGCUGUAACAGAAUGGUGUAGUGAGGUCGUCGUCUAGGUGUCACCCCGACUACCUGGUCAUUUUGGCCAUACGCGACAAUCUGUACCCUCGUAAAAAUAUACCAUUGCCGUCAAGCUGUAACCCCAUCUACUUGUCACCUACUGGACCGAAGGUGCCAACUUGUCAUGACCGUAAACGACAACCUGACACCUCGCACACACACGUCAGAGUGUUACCCCGACUACUGGUUAUGAUGUAGAAUUGAAUUCUAAGCACUUUUGGUUCAGCAGCAUUUUCCCGUCAAACGCACGGUUCGGGAGAUAUUCGACGUUUUUGCUAUUUUUAGGACAAUUUUUUUCGAGUUGGUUGAAAACAGAAAAAAUUAAUAAUAAGCCCUUUUGAUGACUGAACCAGA